UGUUCGCCCAUUAAAGCGGUACGCGAGCUGGGUUCAGAACGUCGUGAGACAGUUCGGUCCCUAUCCGUCGUGGGCGUAGGAAAUUUGAGAGGAGCUGUCCUUAGUACGAGAGGACCGGGAUGGACAUACCUCUGGUGUACCAGUUGUCGUGCCAACGGCAUAGCUGGGUAGCUAUGUAUGGACGGGAUAAGUGCUGAAAGCAUCUAAGCAUGAAGCCCCCCUCAAGAUGAGAUUUCCCAACUUCGGUUACAAGA
rnacentral:rRNA from 1 species